rnacentral:tRNA from 1 species
GCUCUCAUAGUUGAAUAUACAACUACCGUUUUUCGGACUGUCGGCCCAGGUUAGAGUCCUGGUGAGAGCU